GUUGGCCAGCCCCACCCCCCAAGGCUAUAGCCCACCAGUUUUUGUGGCCUUUAUCCGCUGGACGAACUUGGCGCCCCGGCCGUCGGGCGGUUAUUUUUGGGCGCGGCUUUGCCCGCGGCCUAUUUUUGGCACACGGAGGCCCCUCGCAAAGUCUAGCGGGAUUCCGAGUCCGGCGGACGAAGUUGGCCAGCCCCACCCCCCAAGGCUAUAGCCCACCCGUUUUUGUGGCCUUUUUCCGCUGGACGAACUUGGCGCCGCGGCCGUCGGGCGGUUUUUUUUGGGUGCGGCUUUGUCCGCGGCCUAUGUUUUGCACACGGAUGCCCCUCGCAAAGUCUCGCGGUAUUCCGAGUCCGGCGGAUAAAGUUGGCCAGCCCCACCCCCCAAGGCUAUAGCCCACCCGUUUUUGUGGCCUUUUUCCGCUGGACGAACUUGGCGCCCCGGCCUUCGGGCGGUUAUUUUUGGGUGGGGCUUUGCCCGUGGCCUAUUUUUGGCACACAGAGGCCCCUCGCAAAGUCUCGCGGCAUUCCAAGUCCGGCGGACGAAGAUGGCCAGCCCCACCCCCCAAGGCUAUAGCCCACCCGUUUUUGUGGCCUUUUUCCGCUGGACGAACUUGGCGCCCCGGCCUUCGGGCGGUUAUUUUUGGGGGCGGCUUUGCCCGCGUCAUAUUUUUGGCACACGGAGGCCCCUCGCAAAGUCUAGCGGGAUUCCGAGUCCGGCGGACGAAGUUGGCCAGCCCCACCCCCCAAGGCUAUAGCCCACCCGUUUUUGUGGCCUUUUUCCGCUGGACGAACUUGGCGCCGCGGCCGUCGGGCGGUUUUUUUUGGGUGCGGCUUUGUCCGCGGCCUAUGUUUUGCACACGGAUGCCCCUCGCAAAGUCUAGCGGGAUUCCGAGUCCGGCGGACGAAGUUGGCCAGCCCCACCCCCCAAGGCUAUAGCCCACCCGUUUUUGUGGCCUUUUUCCGCUGGACGAACUUGGCGCCGCGGCCGUCGGGCGGUUUUUUUUGGGUGCGGCUUUGUCCGCGGCCUAUGUUUUGCACACGGAUGCCCCUCGCAAAGUCUCGCGGUAUUCCGAGUCCGGCGGAUAAAGUUGGCCAGCCCCACCCCCCAAGGCUAUAGCCCACCCGUUUUUGUGGCCUUUUUCCGCUGGAUGAACUUGGCGCCCCGGCCUACGAGCGGUUAUUUUUGGGCGCGGCUUUGUCCGCGGCCUAUUUUUGGUACACGGAGGCCCCUCGCAAAGUCUCGCGGUGUUCCGAGUCCGGCGGACGAAGUUGGCCAGCCCCACCCCCCAAGGCUAUAGCCCACCCGUUUUUGCGGCCUUUUACCGCUGGACGAACUUGGCGCCCCGGCCUUCGGGCGGUUAUUUUUGGGCGUGGCUUUGCCCGCGGCCUAUUUGUUGCACACGGAGGCCCUUCGCAAAGUCUCGCGGCAUUCCGAGUCCGGCGGACGAAGUCGGCCAGCCCCACCCCCCAAGGCUAUAGCCCACCCGUUUUUGUGGCCUUUUUCCGCUGGACGAACUUGGCUCUCCAGCCGUCGGGCGGUUAUUUUUGGGCGCGGCUUUGUCCGUGGCCUAUUUUUAGCACACGGAGGCCCCUCGCAAAGUCUAACGGCAUUCCGAGUCCGACGGACGAAGUUGUCCAGCCCCACCCCCCAAGGCUAUAGCCCACCCGUUUUUGUGGCCUUUUUCCGCUAGACGAACUUGGCGCCCCGGCCGUCGGGCGGUUAUUUUUGGGCGCGGCUUUGCCCGCGGCCUAUUUUUGGCACACGGAGGCCCCUCGCAAAGUCUAGCGGGAUUCCGAGUCCGGCGGACGAAGUUGGCCAGCCCCACCCCCCAAGGCUAUAGCCCACCCGUUUUUGUGGCCUUUUUCCGCUGGACGAACUUGGCGCCGCGGCCGUCGGGCGGUUUUUUUUGGGUGCGGCUUUGUCCGCGGCCUAUGUUUUGCACACGGAUGCCCCUCGCAAAGUCUCGCGGUAUUCCGAGUCCGGCGGAUAAAGUUGGCCAGCCCCACCCCCCAAGGCUAUAGCCCACCCGUUUUUGUGGCCUUUUUCCGCUGGACGAACUUGGCGCCCCGGCCUUCGGGCGGUUAUUUUUUGGUGCGGCUUUGCCCGUUGCCUAUUUUUGGCACACAGAGGCCCCUCGCAAAGUCUCGCGGCAUUCCAAGUCCGGCGGACGAAGAUGGCCAGCCCCACCCCCCAAGGCUAUAGCCCACCCGUUUUUGUGGCCUUUUUCCGCUGGACGAACUUGGCGCCCCGGCCUUCGGGCGGUUAUUUUUGGGGGCGGCUUUGCCCGCGACCUAUUUUUGGUACACGGAGGCCCCUCGCAAAGUCUCGCGGCAUUCCGAGUCCGGCGGACGAUGUGGGCCAGCCACACCCUCCAAGGCUAUAGCCCACCCGUUUUUGUGGCCUUUUUCCGCUGGAUGAACUUGGCGCCCCGGCCUACGAGCGGUUAUUUUUGGGCGCGGCUUUGUCCGCGGCCUAUUUUUGGUACACGGAGGCCCCUCGCAAAGUCUCGCGGUGUUCCGAGUCCGGCGGACGAAGUUGGCCAGCCCCACCCCCCAAGGCUAUAGCCCACCCGUUUUUGCGGCCUUUUACCGCUGGACGAACUUGGCGCCCCGGCCUUCGGGCGGUUAUUUUUGGGCGUGGCUUUGUCCACGGUCUAUUAUUGGUACACGGAGGCCCCUCGCAAAGUCUCGCGGUGUUCCGAGUCCGGCGGACGAAGUUGGCCAGCCCCAACCCCCAAGGCGAUAGCCCACCCAUUUUUGUAGCCAUUUUCCGCUGGACGAACUUGGCGCCCCGGCCUUCGGGCGGUUAUUUUUGGGCGUGGCUUUGUCCACGGCCUAUUUUUGGUACACGGAGGCCCCUCGCAAAGUCUCGCGGUGUUCCGAGUCCGGCGGACGAAGUGGGCCAGCCCCAACCCCCAAGGCUAUAGCCCACCCAUUUUUGUAGCCAUUUUCCGCUGGACGAACUUGGCGCCCCGGCCUUCGGGCAGUUAAUUUUGGGCGCGGCUUUGCCCAUGUCCUAUUUUUGGCACACGGAGGCCCCUCGCAAAGUCUCGCGGCAUUCCGAGUCCGGCGGACGAAGUUGGCCAGCAUCACCCCCCAAGGCUAUAGCCCACCCGUUUUUGUGGCCUUUUUCCGCUGGACGAACUAGGCGCCCCAGCCUUCGUGUGGUUAUUUUUGGGUGCGGCUUUGUCCGCGGCCUAUUUUUGGCACACGGAGGCCCCUCGUAAAGUCUCACGGCAUUCCGAGUCCGGCGGACGAAGUUGGCCAGCCCCACCCCCCAAGGCUAUAGCCCACCCGUUUUUGUGGCCUUUUUCCGCUGGACGAACUUGGCGCCCCAGCCUUCGGGCGGUUAUUUUUGGGCACGGCUUUGCCUGCGGCCUAUUUUUGGCACACGGAGGCCCCUCGCAAAGUCUCGCGAUAUUCCGAGUCCGGCGGACGAAGUGGGCCAGCCCCACCCCCCAAUGGUAUAGCCCACCCGUUUUUGUGGCCUUUUUCCGCUGGGAGAACUUGGCGCCCCGGCCGUCGGGCGGUUAUUUUUGGGCUCGGCUUUGCCUGCAGCCUAUUUUUGGCACACGGAGGCCCCGCGCAAAGUCUCUUGGCAUUCCGAGUCCGGCGGACGAAGUGGGCCAGCCCCAACCCCCAAGGCUAUAGCCCACAUGUUUUUGUGGCCUUUUUCCGCUGGAUGAACUUGGCGCCCCGGCCUUCGGGCGGUUAUUUUUGGGUGCGGCUUUGCCCGCGGCCUAUUUUUGGCACACGGAGGCCCCUCGCAAAGUCUUGCGGCAUUCCGAGUCCGGCGGACGAAGUUGGCCAGCCCCACCCCCCAAGGCUAUAGCCCACCCGUUUUUGUGGCCUUUUUCCGCUGGACGAACUUGGCGCCCCGGCCUUCGGGCGGUUAUUUUGGGGCGCGGCUUUGCCCGCGGCCUAUUUUUGGCACACGGAGGCCCCUCGCCAAGUCUAGCGGCAUUCCGAGUCCGACGGACGAAGUUGGCCAGCCCCACCCCCCAAGGCUGUAGCCCACCCGUUUUUGUGGCCUUUUUCCGCUGGACGAACUUGGCGCCCCGGCCUUCGGGCGGUUAUUUUUGAGCGUGGCUUUGUCCGCAGCCUAUUUUUGGCACACGGAGACCCCUCGCAAUGUCUCGCGGCAUUCCGAAUCCGGCGGACGAAGUUGGCCAGCCCUACCCCCAAGGCUAUAGCCCACCCGUUUUUGUGGCCUUUUUCCGCUGGACGAACUUGGCGGCCCGGCCUUCGGGCGGUUAUUUUUGCGCGCGGCUUUGCCCGCGGCCUAUUUUUGGCACACGGAAGGCCCCUCAUAAAGUCUCGCGGCAUUCUGAGUGCAGCGGACGAAGUUGACCAUCCCCACCCCCCAAGGCUAUAGCCCACCCGUUUUUGUGGCCUUUUUCCGCUGGACGAACUUGGUGCCCCGGCCUUCGGGCGGUUAAUUUUGGGCGCGGCUUUGCCCGCGGCCUAUUUUUGGCACACGGCAGGCCCUAGCAAUGUCUCACGGCAUUCCGAGUCCGGCGGACGAAGUUGGCCAGCAUCAACACCCAAGGCUAUAGCCCACCCGUUUUUGUGGCCUUUUUCCGCUGGACGAACUUGGCGCCCCGGCCUUCGGGCGGUUACAUUUAGGCACGGCUUUGCCCGCGGCCUAUUUUUGGCACGCGGAGGCCCCUCGCAAAGUCUCGCGGCAUUCCGAGACCGGCGGACGAAGUUGGCCAGCCCCACCCCCCAAGGCUAUAGCCCACCCGUUUUUGUGGCCUUUUUCCGCUGGACGAACUUGGCGCCCCGGCCGUCGGGCGGUUAUUUUUGGGCGCGGCUUUGCCCGCGGCCUAUUUUUGGCACACGGAGGCCCCUCGCAAAGUAUAGCGGCAUUCCGAGUCCGGCGGACGAAGUUGGCCAGCAUCACCCCCCAAGGCUAUGGCCCACCCGUUUUUGUGGCCUUUUUCCGCUGGAUGACCUUGGCGCCCCAGCCUUCAGGCGGUUAAUUUUGGGUGCAGCUUUGNNNNNNNNNNNNNNNNNNNNNNNNNNNNNNNNNNNNNNNNNNNNNNNNNNNNNNNNNNNNNNNNNNNNNNNNNNNNNNNNNNNNNNNNNNNNNNNNNNNNNNNNNNNNNNNNNNNNNNNNNNNNNNNNNNNNNNNNNNNNNNNNNNNNNNNNNNNNNNNNNNNNNNNNNNNNNNNNNNNNNNNNNNNNNNUCAUUUCUGGUACACGGAGGCCCCUCGCAAAGUCUCGCGGCAUACCGAGUCCCGCAUACGAAGUUGGCUAGCCCCACCCCCCAAGGCUAUAGCCCACCAUUUUUUUGUGGCCUUUUUCCGCUGGACGAACUUGGCGCCCCGGCCUUCGAGCGGUUAUUUUUGGGCGCGGCUUUGCCCGCGGCCUAUUUCUGGUACACGGAGGCCCCUCGCAAAGUCUCGCGGCAUACCGAGUCCGGCAGACGAAGUUGGCCAGCAUCAGCCCCCAAGGCUAUAGCCCACCCGUUUUUGUGGCCUUUUGGACGAACUUGGCGCCCCGGCCGUCGGGUGGUAAUUUUUUAGCGCGGCUUUGCCCACGGCCUAUUUUUGCACACGGAGGCCCCUCGCAAAGUCUCGCGUCAUUCCGAGUCCGGCGGACGAAGUUGGCCAGCAUCAGCCCCCAAGGCUAUAGCCCACCCGUUUUUGUGGCCUUUUUCCGUGGGACGAACUUAGCGCCCCGGCCGUCGGGCGGUUAUUUUUGGGCGCGGCUUUGCCCGUGGCCUAUUUUUUGCACACGGAGGCCCCUCGCCAAGUCUAGCGGCAUUCCGAGUCCGACGGACGAAGUUGGCAAGCCCCACCCCCCAAGGCUAUAGCCAACCCGUUUUUGUGGCCUUUUUCCGCUGGACGAACUUGGCGCCCCGGCCGUCGGGCGGUUAUUUUUGGGCGCGGCUUUGUCUGCAGAAUAUUUUUGGCACACGGAGGCCCCUCGCAAAGUCUAGCGGCAUUCCGAGUCCGACGGACGAAGUUGGCGAACCCCACCCCCCAAGGCUAUAGCCAACCCGUUUUUGUGGCCUUUUUCCGCUGGACGAACUUGGGGCCCCGGCCGUCGGGCGGUUAUUUUUGGGUGCGGCUUUGCCUGCGGAAUAUUUUUGCACACGGAGGCCCCUUGCAAUGUCUCGCGGCAUUCCGCGUCCGGCGGACGAAGUUGGCCAGCCCCACCCCCCAAGGCUAUAGCCCACCAGUUUUUGUGGCCUUUUUCCGCUGGACGAACUUGGCGCCCCGGCCUUCGGGCGGUUACAUAUAGGCACGGCUUUGCCCGCGGCCUAUUUUUGGCACGCGGAGGCCCCUCGCAAAGUCUCGCGGCAUUCCGAGUGCGGAGGACGAAGUUGGCCAGCCCCACCCCCCAAGGCUAUAGCCCACCCGUUUAUCUGGCCUUUUUCCGCUGGACGAACUUGGCGCCCCGGCCUUCGGGCGGUUAUUUUUGGGUGCGGCUUUGCCCACGGCCUAUUUUUGGCACAUGGAGGCCCCUCGCAAACUCUCGCGGCAUUCCGAGUCCGGCGGACGAAGUGGGCCAGCAUCACCCCUCAAGGCUAUAGCCCACCCGUUUUUGUGGCCUUUUUCCGCUGGACGAACUUGGCGCCCCGGAACUUGCUGCUGCUACCUAUCUAUAAAAUGCACUACAAAAUUUUAUCACUAGAUAACAUAAAAUUUUGAACCAUGAACCUUUUAAACAUCCCACGGCCUAUUUUUGGCACACGGAGGCCCCUCGCAAAGUCUCGCGGCAUUCCGANNNNNNNNNNNNNNNNNNNNNNNNNNNNNNNNNNNNNNNNNNNNNNNNNNNNNNNNNNNNNNNNNNNNNNNNNNNNNNNNNNNNNNNNNNNNNNNNNNNNNNNNNNNNNNNNNNNNNNNNNNNNNNNNNUGGCCUAUAUUUGGCACUCGGCGGCCUUUCACAAAGUCUCGCGGCAUUCCGACUCCGGCGGACGAAGUUGGCCAGCCCCACCCCCCAAGGCUAUAGCCCACCCGUUUUUGUGGCCUUUUUCCGCUGGACGAACUUGGCGCCCCGGCCUUCGGGCGGUUACAUUUAGGCGCGGCUUUGCCCGCGGCCUAUUUUUGGCACGCGGAGGCCCCUCACAAAGUCUCGCGGCAUUCCGAGACCGGCGGACGAAGUUGGCCAGCCCCACCCCCCAAGGCUAUAGCCCACCCGUUUUUGUGGCCUUUUUCCGCUGGACGAACUUGGCGCCCCGGCCGUCGGGCGGUUAUUUUUGGGCGCGGCUUUGUCCGCGGCCUAUUUUUGGCACACGGAGGCCCCUCGCAAAGUAUAGCGGCAUUCCGAGUCCGGCGGACGAAGUUGGCCAGCAUCACCCCCCAAGGCUAUAGCCCACCCGUUUUUGUGGCCUUUUUCCGCUGGAUGACCCUGGCGCCCCGGCCUUCAGGCGGUUAAUUUUGGGCGCAGCUUUGCCCGCGGCCUAUUUUUGGCACACGGAGGCCCCUCGCAAAGUCUCGCGGCAUUCUGAGUCCGGCGGACGAAGUCGGCCAGCCCCACCCCCCAAGGCUAUAGCCCACCCGUUUUUGUGGCCUUUUUCCGCUGGACAAACUUGGCGCCCCGGCCUUCAGGUGGUUAUUUUUGGGCGCGGCUUAGCCCGCGGCCUGUUUUUGGCACACGGAGGCCCCUGGCAAAGUCUCGCGGCAUUCCGAGUGCGGCGGACGAAGUUGGCCAGCCCCACCCCCCAAGGCUAUAGCCCACCCGUUUAUCUGGCCUUUUUCCGCUGGACGAACUUGGCGCCCCGGCCUUCGGGCGGUUAAUUUUGGGCGCGGCUUUGCCCGCGGCCUAUUUUUGGCACAUGGAGGCCCCUGGUAAACUCUCGCGGCAUUCCGAGUCAGGCGGACGAAGUUGGCCAGCAUCACCCCUCAAGGCUAUAGCCCACCCGUUUUUGUGGCCUUUUUCCGCUGGACGAACUUGGCGCCCCGGAACUUGCUGCUGCUACCUAUCUAUAAAAUGCACUACAAAAUUUUAUCACUAGAUAACAUAAUAUUUUGAACCAUGAAUCUUUUAAACAUCCCAGGGCCUAUUUUUGGCACACGGAGGCCCCUCGCAAAGUCUCGCGGCAUUCCGAGUCCGGCAGACGAAGUUGGCCAGCCCCACCCCCCAAGGCUAUAGCCCACCGGUUUUUGUGGCCUGUUUCCGCUGGACGAACUUGCCACCCCGGCCUUCGGGCGGUUAAUUUUG
rnacentral:lncRNA from 1 species